rnacentral:lncRNA from 1 species
AAGAUUUUUAGCUUUUAAAAAACAUUGUUCUUUCAAUCUUCAAUUCGUGCAGCAACAAAUAUAAUGAACCCAACUCACGCAUAACGGUUACAAGGCACGAUAUACUGAGCCGAACAAUUCAUAUAGAAACGUUACUACUUAUGAAUAAAUGGAUUGUUAUACUCAAGGCCGUGUAUCAUCGAGUCGCAUCCAAAGAGUUAUCGACAUAAAGGACUCCCAAGUUUUCGACUAAUAAUCUGUGUUUUUUAAUCAUGGUAGGUGCUCAUCGAUCCGAAAACAAGACUGUUUAUCGAACAUAAUAGGACGUCCGGUUUUUUCGAAAGUAUCUAAAACGAAAAAGAACAAUAAAGAGAAAAAUGCAAAAAAAUAACUCAGUGAUAUUAAAAUACCUCCAUUGUUCAUCUUUGAUCCCCAAUCAACCCUUCACAAUUAAUUCCAAGUUGGGAAACUAGCCAAGCAUGGCUAAGAAAUCAUUUAAAUAAAAAAUUAAAAUAUUACGUAUUACGGUAUGAAAAUUGAAUUGAAUUGAUAAAUAAAAUUAAAACUUUUACAAAAUAAAUAACCUAAGAAAUAAUAUGGGAAACCUAAACUACAAGGCUGAAAGAAACCUAAACUAAACAUAACAAAGCCUAUUUCGGCAUAAGAGAUGGAAAAGUAUUUAUAAGCAACCUAAUUAGAAUCCUAGUAAAUUAGAACUCAAAACUUCCUAAUCUGUCCCGUACGUGUGUAUCUCUAAUUUUACACUUUUAGAGAUCGAACUAAGCAAUCCUAGUAGAUACGAAAUUGUAGCCCUUUAAAUCUCUUUCCACGCGUCCACAAAUAACUCAAUCAAUCUGAGAUCGGAGUAAACGUUAUGCCAAAUUUCGGAGACGCAAACUUUUAGAUUUUCCAAUUUUUAACUCUCGCAACUUUUUUCGAACUGUAACCAGGGCGGUUCGAACUCUAGUGUAAUUUUUUGCCCAAUUUUGCCUUUUUCUCAUCAUUAACCUGUAUGACUCAAACACGACUAUAAAGUACGAAACCUGAUAAAAAUCAUAAUUAAACUAAUCUAGGCCAACUUAGUCGGUUUAACGCGCGGGACUACAUUAUGCAGUCCAAUCAAGCACUUGACCUUUUUGGCUUUUUAGAUCUCUUAGUCAAGCGUUGAAUCACUAGAAACACAACACCUUGGAUGCUUGGAGUGCUUGCAUUUAAUAGCUUGAUGAAUAGCUAAACCAUUGGUAGAGUGUUGGGGGGCAUUAAUGCUCGUACCAGUAACCUGCAUUUGAACACAUACCGUAGGUGUCUACACAUUCUUUCCAGGUGUCGACACUUUGUAGGUGUCGCACUUCUUUUUAUGGUGUCGACACUUCCACCUAUCAUUGCAAUCUUUGAAACUAUCUCCUUGUGCUAAUGUUGGUGUCGACACUUGAUGUCCCAAAUUUUCUGCCCAGUACUGACUUUGGUGCUGAUAUUGGUGUCGACACAUUGAUGUCCCAAGCUUUUGUGGUUUUGGUUACUGACGUUUGGGCUGAGAUGGUGGUCGACACUUUGGAUGUUUCCAUAUUCUUGAGUUUUGCUACUGAUACUUGGUUUGCUGAGGUUGGGUCGACCACUUGGAUGUUCCAUAUUUCUGAGUUUUGCUAUUGAUACUUGGUGCUGAUGUAGGUGUUGACACAUGAUGUUUCAACCUUCUGGGUUUGUGGCAUUGACAUUUGGUGCUGAGGCUUGGUGUCCGACACUUGGAAUGUUCCAUAUUUUUGAGUUUUUGGCCUACUGAUACUUGGUGCUGAUGCAGGUGUCGACACUUGUGUUUUCAAAACUUCUGGGUUUGGCUGCUGACAUUUGGGUGCUGAGGUUGGUGUCGAUACUUCGAUGUUUCAUAUUUUUUGAGUUUUGCUUACUGUAACUUGGUGCUUGAUACGCAGGUGCGACACAUGAUGUUUCCAAACUGUCUAUGUUUUGGGCUACUGACAUUUGGUGCUGGGUUUGGUGUUGACACUUCCUACAAGAAUGUUGUUCAAUCAUCUUUUUUGAUCAUUUUUGGGUAUUAAGUCGACUUUCUUCCUUCCUCUGAAUGCAUUGUCCUUUAAUAACUUAGAUCCAUUUAAGUUCCUUACCACUGUUUGAGCUUCUCAAAGAUAUAUCAAAAUUAUUUCUGGUCUCAAGUGUCUACCCAUCAAACAAGGUGUCCGACACAUCAAACAGGGUGUUCCGACCUUUCUUCAGAAAGUACUUGUAUGCUUCUUUAGCAUAUAUCGCGUGUUAAGGCUGUACACUUAUCAAUUACAUUUAACAACACCAAAAUAGUCUGUUUUGUUAUCCUAGUUAAUCCAUUUUUGAGCUAAAAUCGAAUUGUGUGUAUCGAAGAAAUCGUAGUCUUCAACGACCCGUUUAUAACUUUAUGAGCGAGAAUCUAAGCUAGAUUAUACCUUCUGAUCUCUGUCUUCAAGAAGUAUAAGAGGGUCAAACGUUCUGGUUGAUGUUUAACCGAGGAUUCUCUCUCCCUGGUCUCUUCUUGCCCUUUUCCGAAGCAUCACAAUCCUUCCUCUUGUUGACCUUGGAUAGUUUCUAGUGUCGACACCCACGAGAUCCCAACAUUGCUUCUUCUUUCUUUGUUAGCUCUUCUGAUUUUUGGGAGGCAUUUUUCGAGAAGAACGAAAAAAAUUUUUGAUGAGAGAUCAAGGGAUUUGGAAGUUAUAGAUAGUGAAUCGACGUUUUUUAUGGAUCUUGUGAUGUGUGUGGGUUCUGCAGCGGUUUUUGAGGGAAAGUUAGAGAGAGAAACGAAGAGUGAAGAAUAUGGAGGUUUCGCAUAAAGACAGAAAGAGCCCUAGUGUCUUUUUAUACCCCUAUCAAAGGUGUUCGACACAUGUAUUUUAAGGUGUCGACACUUGUUCUUCAAAAUUCUUCAGACUUAAUUCUUUUAUUUAAAGUGUCGACUCUUUUAAACUAACUGAGUGUCGCACUUUACCCUUUAGACUUACUGACCUAGUGUCCUACAAACUUUAUGUGUCCCUAAAUCAAAACCAAUCUUUGCUCAAAGGGUUUUUGUGAAAAUAUCAGCAGUUUUGUUUUUCAGUUUCAACCAAAUUCAGUUCAAUAUCCCCUUUUUGUACGUGGGAGCUCGUAUAAAAUGAUCUAAUUUCACAUGUGCUUAGUACGAGAGUGUUUGGAUGGAUUUUUUGUCAAAUUUUAUUUUCGCUCCGUAUUAUCACAUUUAUGGGGAAAUGUGAUCUAAUAAAUUCCAUAAUCUCUAAUUGAUGGUUUUCAUCAUCCAUAGCACUGUGCACGCAACUCCGGCUGUCAACAUACUCCGCCUCCGCCGUGGAUAAUUCUAUGUAAUUUUGCUUUUUUUGCAAAACCAAGACACAAUUCAUUUACCUAGGAGUGACACUAGCCCUUGUACUUUUUUCUAUCAAUCUUACUUCCCGCAUAUCGGGGCAUCGGUGUAGCAAUAAGAUUAAAUGAUGUGUCCCUUAAGGUACCCAUAGACUAGAUUUGGUGUGUUUUUAAGAUAUCGAAAAUUUCGUUUUACAACAACGCAAUUACAUGUGAUUCUUAAGGAUUCCGAUUGAAAUCUUGCACACAAACACACACUACAUAAACAUAAUGUCGGGUCACUGCAGUCAGAUAUAGUAAAGAUCCUAUCAUGCGUCUAUAAAGUUUGAAUCAACAGAUUUUACCUCCAUUGUUCCGUUAUCCACUUUGGUGAGGUACUCAUUGGAGUCCUGUUGCUUUGGUUGCUUCUUCCAUUCCAACCUUUCUGAUCAGUUCUUUAGUAUAUUUGGCUUGAUUGAUAAAUACCUUUCCUUUGAUUGCUUUAUUUGUAGUCCAAGAAAGUAGUUCAUCAAUUCUCCCAUCAUCCCAUUUUCAAACUCUCCCCUGCAUACACGUUAGCAAAUUCUUCUUUGUAAAGAGAUUCUUUAGUAGCACCAAAGAUAAUAUCAUCAACAAAAUUUGUGCUAGGAGUCUGUCUUUAUUUCAACUUUUAUAAAGAGAGUAGUAUCUAUUUUUCCUCUUGAAAUCCUUUGUCCAUUAGAAAUUUGCUCAACCGUUCAUAGACCCAAGCCCUUGGGGCUUGUUUUCAACCCAUACAGAGCCUUAGAUAAUUAAAAACAUGAUCUUGGUAAUUUUGAUCUUCAAAACCAGGAGGUUGCUCAACAUAUACCUCUUCAUUUCUAUACCCUUUAGGAAAGCCCUUUUAACAUCCAUUUGGUAAAGUUUUAAAAUCCUCUAAAGCAUGCAAUUGCAAAGUAAAUUCCUAAUUGCUUCUAACUAGCUACAGGUGCAAAGGUUUCGUCAAAGUCACUUCCUUCUUUCUUGACUAUAUCCUGAGCAACAAGUCUAGCUUUGUUCCUCACAACUAUUCCGGAUUCAUCCAUUUUAUUUCUAAAUACCCCUUGGUUCCAAUACCGGGUGAUCUUUAGUCUAGGAACAAUAUGCCAUACUUCAUUUCCUUUUCAAUUGGGUUAAGUUUCUUCUCUUGCAUUGCAUUUAUCCCAAUUCAUCAUUUUCACACCAUCCUUCAAACGUUUUUGGGUCUAUUUGAGCAACAAUGCAAGAUGAUUACAAAUAUUUUUGAUAGAGGAACGAGUUCUUCCCCUUUUGUGGGGAUCGCCUAGGAUUUUGUUCUGUAGGGUGGUUUUUGCACAAUUUCCAUUCUUUGGUAGAUCUUCAUUUUCCCUUUUGUUUGUCUAUGAAACUUCUUUGUGUCUCUCUCCUUUGUUGAUUAUCCUUUGUGUCUGUGGUUGUUCAAUUCUAUUUCUCUAUAUUUUGCUCAGCUUCAUCUAUUUCUCUUUCACUUAUGAUCUUUUUAUUUAUAAAGAUAUGCUCAUCAAAAUGACAUGGACCGAUUCUCAACUACUAGGGUUCUUUUAAUUGAACCGUCUAUAAUGCUUUGCUAUGCAUUGAAUACCCAAGAAACAAUUCUUCAUCAGCUUUUGCGUCAAUUUUCCAAGAUGAUCUUUGUUAUUCUUUAAAACAAAGCAUUUGCACUCCAAACGUUUUGAAAUAUGAAAUGUUAGGAUUUUGGUUUGCUUUCCCACUCAUAGGGAUUUUUGUUUAAUAUUUUUCUAAAUAGAAUUCGAUUUAAAAACGGAGCAGGAUGUAUUACUGCUUCAGCCAAAAAUUUUUGUAAACUAUUUUUUAACAACUGGUUCUUCCCAUUCUUGAAAACUCUAUUUUUCUUUCGACAACUCUAGUUUGUGAGGUGUUCUAGGAUGCUGAAAAUUGUGAUCAAAACCGUUUUCAUCACAAAAAUUUCCAAAAGGUUUACACUCAAAUUCUCCUCCAUGAUCAGUUCUAAUUGAGGUAAUUGAAUACCCCUUUUCAUUUUGAACCUUUCUACAAAAUUUUGUAAAAGAGAUAAUUGUUUUCAUCAAUCCUUAUACUAAAGAAGAAGGUCCAUGGUGAUCUUGAGUAGUCCAUCAACAAAAACAAAUGCUAUUGCUUUUCCACCAAGACUUAAGGUCUUGAUGUCCAAAUAAGUCCAUAUGCAAUAGUUGAAGUGGGGGGCCUCAUUUGGUUUGAGCUUAUUUUAUGAAUUUAAAGAUAUUUCUAGUUGUUUUCCCAUUUGCAGUCAUCACAAAUCUUGUCUCUCAAAUUUGAUUUGGGAAUCCCUCGACCAAGUCAUGUUUUGAAUUCUUUUCAAGUAUGCUCUACCCUAAUUGGCCCAAGUCUUCUAUGCCACAGCCAACUCAAUCACAUUCCCAGAGCGCGAGGCAUUCAAUAGCACAGGGGAUAUCAUUUGAGGUUAAACAUGUAAUAAUUGCCUUGUCUAUGACCAAUGAGAAUUGUUUUGUUUAUUCUUAAUGUCUAUUAUAUCACAAUUUUGAGGAUUCGAAAAUAACCUUGCAUCUUUGUCAUAUAGUUGACUAUACUUAGGAGAUUGGUAAUUUAGUCCUUUAACUAGCAGCACCAUUUUUAAUAGAGUUGAAGGAUUUCUUACCGAUACAAAGCCACGCGAUUCCGAUGAUCUUUCCUUGCCAUUGUCUUCCAAAGGUGACAUAUCCCUCCAUCCUUUGGCCUUAGAUGUGAAUUAAGUUUUCACAUCUCCCGUCAUAUGCCCUUGAGCAACCGCUCUCCAAUUACCAUUGAUUUUUGAAGGAUUUUGCUUAAAGACAUACCUCAAAAAAAAAAAAAUAUUUAUUUUACUUUAUGUACCCAAAUCAUCUUGGUCCUUGGGGGUCAGUUCUCAAUGGGCCUUCUCGAGACCCAUGCUUUUUAGAAUUUUUGAUCUUUGCUAUAAAGACAUAUACUAGCAAUAUGUUCCAAUAUAUGACAAUAGAAAAAUUAGAUAGAUUUUUUCAGAAUAAGGUUUAAUUUUUGAAGAUAAUUUUCUUUUAAAUGGAUUGAAACCAAUUCCUGCUUUAUCAUAGAGCAAUUUCUGUUUUUCCAAGAAUUGCUUCAACUUAUUUUCCAUCUACACAUUUGAAUAGAGUUGAUUCCAAGUAUUUAAUCCUUUUCAUUUAAGAUUUGUUUUUUCUUUUAGUAAAUUUCGUUUUUGAUAAACAUUUUCAUAACUGUGUUUUAAAAAACAUUAACUUGUAUUUUAUUUUAACUAUCAUUUUUCGUUUUGUAGUCCUCAUUCUCUUUUGAAGAUUAGUAAUCAUCUUUUUAAGUAUGCUAUUUUUAUUCUAUUUCUUUAAUUCACUCAUUAAUUCAUCAAUGCAUCUUUGUAAUUCAUUAAAGGUAAUCUGAGAUGUAUUAAAUUUGAUAACCUCAUCUUCAUCCCAUAAGCCAUGAGACAAAGAUUGCAACUUCUUUUGGUUUCGGCCUCAUCUUCGGAUCUCCGGAUUCUUCUUCAUCACGCCAUAUCAUAGCUUCCAGGGCCCUUUUUUUUCCACUUCUUUCCUCUUUUCCUUUCUUUUUUGAUUAACGAGACAUUCGCUGUUCAUAUGUCCGUGCUUUGUUCAUUCUAUGCAUAAUUGAGGACUCUUUGUUUGCUCUCCUCGUCCAUCAUCCUUUUUUCCUCCCUCCAUUUUCUUCCUUCUUCUUCAUGAAUCGUUUAAAUUAAAAUUUACACGAGUGAUAGAGCCAUUUUUCAUCAUCUCCUUCACUUGACUAUUCAUCUUCGUGAUUUUGGAUUGAAUGCUACAGUUUUUCUUUUUCUUUCCUCAUCAUCUGGAUAUGUUUUGUUUUUGAGUGAGCUCAAUGAUUCAUAAGAGAACCCAAAGCUCAUCAAGGAGCUAAAGUGUUUAGAUCGUUUGCUUCUUGAAUUGUCGUGACUUAGCUUCCCAUGCCUUUCGGUAGUGAUCUCAAAUUUUUCUCACCUCUCUUGUUAGGUUAUACCUUUCCAGAGAUUUUAAGCCAUUGAUAAUAUCAGUAAUCUGUGAACAUUUUCCCGGUAUUGAUUCUUUGUGUUUUCAUUCUAAUAAUUCAUAGUUAUGAACUAAGAUUUGUUUUAGACUCCUAACUUACUAGAUCUUUCCUGAGUUUACUUCUAAUCAUCGCAAAUUUCUUUUUUGCUGACUCACCACGUUGAAGAUUUUCCCUAUUGUCUCAUUUAGAUCUAAUGCACAU